GGGGAAACCCAGGCUAAUACCGCAUACGUCNUACGGGAGAAAGGGGGCUUUGGCUCCCGCUAUCGGAUGAGCCUAUGCCGGAUUAGCUAGUUGGUGAGGUAAUGGCUCACCAAGGCGACGAUCCGUAGCUGGUCUGAGAGGAUGAUCAGCCACAUCGGGACUGAGACACGGCCCGAACUCCUACGGGAGGCAGCAGUGGGGAAUAUUGGACAAUGGGGGCAACCCUGAUCCAGCCAUGCCGCGUGUGUGAAGAAGGCCCUCGGGUUGUAAAGCACUUUCAGCGAGGAAGAACGCCUGUCGGUUAAUACCCGGCAGGAAAGACAUCACUCGCAGAAGAAGCACCGGCUAACUCCGUGCCAGCAGCCGCGGUAAUACGGAGGGUGCAAGCGUUAAUCGGAGAUUACUGGGCGUAAAGCGCGCGUAGGUGGCUUGAUAAGCCGGUUGUGAAAGCCCCGGGCUCAACCUGGGAACGGCAUCCGGAACUAUCAGGCUAGAGUGCAGGAGAGGAAGGUAGAAUUCCCGGUGUAGCGGUGAAAUGCGUAGAGAUCGGGAGGAAUACCAGUGGCGAAGGCGGCCUUCUGGACUGACACUGACACUGAGGUGCGAAAGCGUGGGUAGCAAACAGGAUUAGAUACCCUGGUAGUCCACGCCGUAAACGAUGUCGACCAGCCGUUGGGUGCCUAGCGCACUUUGUGGCGAAGUUAACGCGAUAAGUCGACCGCCUGGGGAGUACGGCCGCAAGGUUAAAACUCAAAUGAAUUGACGGGGGCCCGCACAAGCGGUGGAGCAUGUGGUUUAAUUCGAUGCAACGCGAAGAACCUUACCUACCCUUGACAUCCUGCGAACUUGUGAGAGAUCACUUGGUGCCUUCGGGAGCGCAGAGACAGGUGCUGCAUGGCUGUCGUCAGCUCGUGUUGUGAAAUGUUGGGUUAAGUCCCGUAACGAGCGCAACCCUUGUCCUUAUUUGCCAGCACGUAAUGGUGGGAACUCUAAGGAGACUGCCGGUGACAAACCGGAGGAAGGUGGGGACGACGUCAAGUCAUCAUGGCCCUUACGGGUAGGGCUACACACGUGCUACAAUGGCCGGUACAAAGGGCUGCGAACU
rnacentral:rRNA from 1 species